CGAUCUACUCUAGAGGGGACAAAAAGGAUCAACGAUGGCGGAGCAGUUGACGGACGACCAGAUCGCGGAGUUCAAGGAGGCCUUCAGCCUCUUCGACAAGGAUGGAGACGGUCAGAUCCACCUACUGCCUCUUUGUCUCUCGAUGAUCCUCGUUUCUUAGCCGUUGACCUCUUGUCUUUCUCGAUCUGGCGAUCGGUGGUUUGGUUAUGAUGGGCCUCUUUCCGAUCCAUGUGGUCCGCGGAGCGCCUAGAUCGUCGGAUGUGUCUCGGGAAAUUAGGGUUUUGUUGCUCCGCUCACUGAUCUGUUUGUCUUGGUCCCGCUGAUGCCGUCCUUUGCCGC
rnacentral:lncRNA from 1 species